GGUUAAGCGACUAAGCGUACACGGUGGAUGCCCUGGCAGUCAGAGGCGAUGAAGGACGUGCUAAUCUGCGAAAAGCGUCGGUAAGGUGAUAUGAACCGUUAUAACCGGCGAUGUCCGAAUGGGGAAACCCAGUGCAAUUCGUUGCACUAUCGUUAACUGAAUACAUAGGUUAACGAGGCGAACCGGGGGAACUGAAACAUCUAAGUACCCCGAGGAAAAGAAAUCAACCGAGAUUCCCCCAGUAGCGGCGAGCGAACGGGGAGCAGCCCAGAGUCUGAAUCAGCUUGUGUGUUAGUGGAACGGUCUGGAAAGUCCGACGGUACAGGGUGAUAGUCCCGUACACCAAAAUGCACAGGUUGUGAACUCGAAGAGUAGGGCGGGACACGUGGUAUCCUGUCUGAAUAUGGGGGGACCAUCCUCCAAGGCUAAAUACUCCUGACUGACCGAUAGUGAACCAGUACCGUGAGGGAAAGGCGAAAAGAACCCCGGCGAGGGGAGUGAAAAAGAACCUGAAACCGUGUACGUACAAGCAGUGGGAGCACCUUCGGGUGUGACUGCGUACCUUUUGUAUAAUGGGUCAGCGACUUAUAUUCUGUAGCAAGGUUAACCGUAUAGGGGAGCCGCAGGGAAACCGAGUCUUAACUGGGCGUUAAGUUGCAGGGUAUAGACCCGAAACCCGGUGAUCUAGCCAUGGGCAGGUUGAAGGUUGGGUAACACUAACUGGAGGACCGAACCGACUAAUGUUGAAAAAUUAGCGGAUGACUUGUGGCUGGGGGUGAAAGGCCAAUCAAACCGGGAGAUAGCUGGUUCUCCCCGAAAGCUAUUUAGGUAGCGCCUCGUGAAUUCAUCUUCGGGGGUAGAGCACUGUUUCGGCUAGGGGGUCAUCCCGACUUACCAACCCGAUGCAAACUACGAAUACCGAAGAAUGUUAUCACGGGAGACACACGGCGGGUGCUAACGUCCGUCGUGAAGAGGGAAACAACCCAGACCGCCAGCUAAGGUCCCAAAGUCAUGGUUAAGUGGGAAACGAUGUGGGAAGGCACAGACAGCCAGGAUGUUGGCUUAGAAGCAGCCAUCAUUUAAAGAAAGCGUAAUAGCUCACUGGUCGAGUCGGCCUGCGCGGAAGAUGUAACGGGGCUAAACCAUGCACCGAAGCUGCGGCAGCGACACUAUGUGUUGUUGGGUAGGGGAGCGUUCUGUAAGCCUGCGAAGGUGAGCUGUGAGGCAUGCUGGAGGUAUCAGAAGUGCGAAUGCUGACAUAAGUAACGAUAAAGCGGGUGAAAAGCCCGCUCGCCGGAAGACCAAGGGUUCCUGUCCAACGUUAAUCGGGGCAGGGUGAGUCGACCCCUAAGGCGAGGCCGAAAGGCGUAGUCGAUGGGAAACAGGUUAAUAUUCCUGUACUUGGUGUUACUGCGAAGGGGGGACGGAGAAGGCUAUGUUAGCCGGGCGACGGUUGUCCCGGUUUAAGCAUGUAGGCUGAUUAUCCAGGCAAAUCCGGAUAAUCAAGGCUGAGGUGUGAUGACGAGGCACUACGGUGCUGAAGUAACAAAUGCCCUGCUUCCAGGAAAAGCCUCUAAGCAUCAGGUAACAUCAAAUCGUACCCCAAACCGACACAGGUGGUCAGGUAGAGAAUACCAAGGCGCUUGAGAGAACUCGGGUGAAGGAACUAGGCAAAAUGGUGCCGUAACUUCGGGAGAAGGCACGCUGGUGUGUAGGUGAAGCCCCUGCGGGUGGAGCUGAGACCAGUCGAAGAUACCAGCUGGCUGCAACUGUUUAUUAAAAACACAGCACUGUGCAAACACGAAAGUGGACGUAUACGGUGUGACGCCUGCCCGGUGCCGGAAGGUUAAUUGAUGGGGUUAUCCGUAAGGAGAAGCUCUUGAUCGAAGCCCCGGUAAACGGCGGCCGUAACUAUAACGGUCCUAAGGUAGCGAAAUUCCUUGUCGGGUAAGUUCCGACCUGCACGAAUGGCGUAAUGAUGGCCAGGCUGUCUCCACCCGAGACUCAGUGAAAUUGAACUCGCUGUGAAGAUGCAGUGUACCCGCGGCAAGACGGAAAGACCCCGUGAACCUUUACUAUAGCUUGACACUGAACAUUGAGCCUUGAUGUGUAGGAUAGGUGGGAGGCUUUGAAGCGUGGACGCCAGUCUGCGUGGAGCCAACCUUGAAAUACCACCCUUUAAUGUUUGAUGUUCUAACGUUGGCCCCUGACCGGGGUUGCGGACAGUGUCUGGUGGGUAGUUUGACUGGGGCGGUCUCCUCCCAAAGCGUAACGGAGGAGCACGAAGGUUAGCUAAUCCUGGUCGGACAUCAGGAGGUUAGUGCAAUGGCAUAAGCUAGCUUGACUGCGAGCGUGACGGCGCGAGCAGGUGCGAAAGCAGGUCAUAGUGAUCCGGUGGUUCUGAAUGGAAGGGCCAUCGCUCAACGGAUAAAAGGUACUCCGGGGAUAACAGGCUGAUACCGCCCAAGAGUUCAUAUCGACGGCGGUGUUUGGCACCUCGAUGUCGGCUCAUCACAUCCUGGGGCUGAAGUAGGUCCCAAGGGUAUGGCUGUUCGCCAUUUAAAGUGGUACGCGAGCUGGGUUUAGAACGUCGUGAGACAGUUCGGUCCCUAUCUGCCGUGGGCGCUGGAGAAUUGAGGGGGGCUGCUCCUAGUACGAGAGGACCGGAGUGGACGCAUCACUGGUGUUCGGGUUGUCAUGCCAAUGGCACUGCCCGGUAGCUAAAUGCGGAAGAGAUAAGUGCUGAAAGCAUCUAAGCACGAAACUUGCCCCGAGAUGAGUUCUCCCUGAGACUUUAAGUCUCCUGAAGGAACGUUGAAGACGACGACGUUGAUAGGCCGGGUGUGUAAGCGCAGCGAUGCGUUGAGCUAACCGGUACUAAUGAACCGUGAGGCUUAACCUU
rnacentral:rRNA from 1 species